rnacentral:lncRNA from 1 species
GAGUCGAGAUGAGGAAAGAGACUUAGGUGGGAUAAGGGAGAGGGCUGGGGAUUGCAGAACACAGUCCAGGAGGCGAAGAGUAAAAGAUCACAGAGAGAAGGAAAUGGAAGCAGAGUCUCUGGUAAGCUCUCCCAGCCGCAGGAGCCUGGCCCAGAGGAUGGCAGCCGAUCCCAGCAGCAGGUGAAGCUGGCCCAGGCCUCUGCCAAGGAGAGGUGCUGGGGAGGGAAGGGACUCCGGGAAGUCCUGCCCUGCCACCCUCUUCACUGCCUCUCAAGCAACUGCCCAGGACAUACAGUUAUGCGAUAAAUAUUUAGUAAAUGAGUGAUGCAUCCAGCAACCUCUAUCACAAAAAUAACCGCCUUUGCUGCGAGGUGACCCUCCGCC